CAGCAGCCGCGGUAAUACAGAGGGUGCGAGCGUUAAUCGGAUUUACUGGGCGUAAAGCGUGCGUAGGCGGCUUCUUAAGUCGGAUGUGAAAUCCCUGAGCUUAACUUAGGAAUUGCAUUCGAUACUGGGAAGCUAGAGUAUGGGAGAGGAUGGUAGAAUUCCAGGUGUAGCGGUGAAAUGCGUAGAGAUCUGGAGGAAUACCGAUGGCGAAGGCAGCCAUCUGGCCUAAUACUGACGCUGAGGUACGAAAGCAUGGGGAGCAAACAGGAUUAGAUACCCGGGUAGUCCCUGUCUCUUAUAA
rnacentral:rRNA from 1 species